rnacentral:rRNA from 1 species
UCGCGGCCUAUCAGCUUGUUGGUGAGGUAACGGCUCACCAAGGCAUCGACGGGUAGCUGGUCUGAGAGGACGAUCAGCCACACUGGAACUGAGACACGGUCCAGACUCCUACGGGAGGCAGCAGUAGGGAAUCUUGCGCAAUGGGCGAAAGCCUGACGCAGCAAUGCCGCGUGCGGGACGAAGGCCCUAGGGUCGUAAACCGCUUUCAGUAGGGACGAAAAUGACGGUACCUGCAGAAGAAGCUCCGGCCAACUACGUGCCAGCAGCCGCGGUGAUACGUAGGGAGCAAGCGUUGUCCGGAAUUACUGGGCGUAAAGGGCUCGUAGGUGGUUGAGUAAGUCAGAUGUGAAAUCUCAGGGCCCAACCCUGAGCGUGCAUUUGAUACUGCUCUGACUAGAGUCCGGUAGGGGAGUGCGGAAUUCCUGGUGUAGCGGUGAAAUGCGCAGAUAUCAGGAGGAACACCGACAGCGAAGGCAGCACUCUGGGCCGGUACUGACACUGAGGAGCGAAAGCAUGGGUAGCAAACAGGAUUAGAUACCCUGGUAGUCCAUGCCGUAAACGUUGGGCACUAGGUGUGGGGAGAACUCAACUCUCUCCGCGCCGUAGCUAACGCAUUAAGUGCCCCGCCUGGGGAGUACGG